GAAGGAGCAGGGGCAGUUUUAGGUAGAGAAGGGUGUCGCUGAAAAGGAGACGCGGCAGGGCAACUCUUUAAAGGAGAAGAAGGGGCCACGGGAUCGAGGUCGACGGCGGAACGGCACCGUAGCGUAUCCGGAGUGUGGGGACUCGGGGGUUGGGGACAGUGCGCGCAGCGGCGGAGGUUGGAAUAGCGCCGUGGCGCCGGGACGGCAUAGAGGGUCGGCGGCGGCGGCGGCGGUAGAAGCAGUAAUCAAAACUUCUGACUACCUAAUACUAUUGAGAUCUUCUGUGUUAGUUUCAUGAAGGUUUUUCUCCUGAGCAAAGUUAAGACUACUACCUUUCUCCUUUGCCGAUUUGAUGUCCGUCCUACCGCCUGUAUACAGGAGAGUCGGUUAUCUUUGGCAAAUGUCCUAUAACACGGGUCCUUUUUUCUAGCCGCCACAGAACCCCUCUCCACCAGUACAACAAUUCCGGGAAUCUCUCCUCUGAUUUCGUUUCUAUUCCCAACGACUAAGAUAAGGACCACGUCUGCUCUCUCAUUAAUAAUAUAAACUAAUGGUUUUAUUGAGGCUGGUUCGAUAAGUUUUAUAAAGAUUACAACUACCGAGUCUCUUGUACUUCGGGGUAACAAAACGAGUUCUACGCAACAACUUCUAUGUACUAUUCUAACGACGACUACUUCUAAGGUUGCUACCUCAAAGGAUACUCUUAAGACUUUGACGACCACUACACUGACGAGCUUAAAACCAAGGUCCGUUAGUUCAACCGACGGACGACCCUUUUCCACCGAGAUAAUAUGUUGUUAACGCUUUACUAUGACCACGUCCCUAGGCACAGAAUGGUAGGCUUUUGGAAGGAGUCACACGUGAAUUCUCACUACUUAACCACGUCUAUAGACCACGUGGAAGAGAACAUUCUUUUCGAGAGAUGCUCUAUAGAUGAGCAGAGGUAGCCGUAGGAGCAUUUCUUUUAGGUAGAGAACUUCUUUAAUAUCUACGUUCGUGUGUUUCCUUCGCGCUCAGGGGUGGUGGCGAUGGUGUACUUUUAGUGUACAAUGGUGUGGACGUACACCUAGUAGGUGGUGGUUACGGGAACGAACUAGGUAUAUCUUUGCCUGGUAACGUUAUAGGACAAGGACUUGGUCUUCUCAAAAGAUAAUUUUAAGACACGGGAAGACUCGAAUAACCUGGACAAUAACCGUCUUCACCCCGUUUACAAGCCGUCCAUCUCGUCGUCUGACCACGAGCGUAAUACCAAGUCCUCAACGGGUUUCUACGAAGACCUCUUUCCAACUAACAAUAAAGUAGGUUCCUCUAAGGCCGACUAGGUCAUAGGGGUUGUUAGCUCCGUGAAUAAAACGAGGUAUCAUUUCAUUCACUCUCGUUUCAUUCACUUGGAAGUCAUUCACGUGGAAGUCUUUCACGUGGAAGACUCCUCGUGUUGAACCAAUGUUCUGAACAACAUGGUAGUUCUUUUCAACCAACAUAAUAACCCCUUCCACCCUUCCAUUAAUGACUUUACUCUUCCGCAUAACCCCGACUUUAGGCUCAAAUAAGCUUUCGUCUAUUUGGUUUCAUGAAUAGAAAAGUGCUACUCGAACACGUCCAAAGACCCAGAGGUCUAUAACGUUCUUUUCGGUAGUGUCUCUAACGAAGCUCCGAAUCUCUAUCUUAGGAGUCUCUACCUUAAAGGAGAAAACUACCAGGAGGACGACUAUAUAAAGGAUCGUCCCUUAAGUGUGACAUGCCUUCUGGACGGUUAGGUGGUAUACCUUCCGAACGGUUACUAUGGGGAAUACCUUCCGGACGGUUACUAUGGGGAAUACCUUCCGGACGAUUACUAAGGGGUAUAGUUUCCGCCGAACGGUAACUAGUUGGUAUACCCGAACGGUCACUAAGUGAUAUACCUUCUGGACGGUUACUAGGUGAUAUACCCUCUGGUCGGUUACUAGGUGAUAUACCCUCUGGUCGGUUACUAGGUGGAAUACCUUCUGGUCGGUUACUACUUGGUAUACCCUCUGGACGGUUGCUGUGUGGUAUACCCUCUGGACGGUUGCUAUGUGGUAUACCGUCUGGUUUGUUAUUUGGGGUACUAAGUCAUCUAAUGAAGAGAUUUUCUUCUCUCAUAGGAUCACCUUCAGGUAAACGAUCGCUGCGAGGUGGUAGACGAAGAAUACUAUCUAUACGUCGUAGACGAGCGAACGGAUGAUCUCUUUACGGGAACGGACAAUCAGGACCACGACUAAUGUACAGCGUAGCAAGAAUAGUACUGGUAUACGGAUGACUAUCGAUAAGAUCAUCUCCGUAAGUCGUUAAUCCGGAGAGUUCUCGACCCUUAUCAUUAUACGUUGUUAAUCCGCAGUGGUCUCGACCUUUAAGGUUACGAAUACUAAUGUGGCUCCGACAGCCCGUCUACGUACCUGCACUCCUAAUAGUUUCUCACCGUCUACAAUGUCCCAUAAGUUCAUCGAGACAACUUGACUCCUAAGGUUUAUCAAGAGACCUUAGAUAACAACCUCGACCACCACAGUUAGAUCGUCUCUAGGCGGUCUAGAGACCACGUUCUUACUUCAAUGAACUUCGGGUAGGACCAAGAAACCUUAGGUAGUACCUCUAGGUUCCAUACGGCCUGGUUCACUCUCACCGCGUCUCGGAAGACGUUCCGAAGUAACCACGGUUGUCGGUCUCGCACGUCGGUAGGGUCAGAAGAGCGCUGCAGGUAAUGGGUUCCACCUUGAUUUGGGAUCUCCGAACAACACUUCUUGUUGCCUUGUGGCACGUUUGAGGUCCAGCUAACGGUACGACGGUGUAAUUGAUCCAACUCGCCACAUUGAAUCUAGUACAAACAACUGUUUUUAUUAGACCCGAAACCAAUAAAGGUUCCUACAUGACGAUUUUCACGAACAAAAGAAUCAGAAAAAUGGGGGGAAAACUCACUUUAUGUAGAUUACUGUUCUCAACGUUUUUGAGACAUCAGUAACAUGUGUACCUUGGACCUACCAACUUCGACAAAAAUAUACGUUACGAUAAACACUUGAAGUGUGGCAGUGUAUGAGUGUAGACCAAAAGAGGC
rnacentral:rRNA from 1 species